rnacentral:tRNA from 1 species
CGGAGCGUAGCGCAGCCUGGUAGCGCAUCAGACUGGGGGUCGUGGGUUCAAAUCCCGCCGUUCCGA